CAGUGUUACAGCUCUUUUCGUUAUUUGUCUAGCAGGUCUUCCGGUUCCUACCGGAAGACCCCC
rnacentral:snRNA from 1 species